rnacentral:rRNA from 1 species
UACGGAGGGAGCUAGCGUUGUUCGGAAUUACUGGGCGUAAAGCGCGCGUAGGCGGCUUUUGUAAGUUAGAGGUGAAAGCCCGGGGCUCAACCCCGGAAUUGCCUUUAAGACUGCAUCGCUAGAAUCCGGGGAGAGGGUGAGUGGAAUUCCGAGUGUAGAGGUGAAAUUCGUAGAUAUUCGGAAAGAACACCAGUGGCGAAGGCGGCUCACUGGACCGGUAU